AGGUUCAUAGCAGAAUGGUAAAGCAUUCGAUUGCAGAUCCAAUAGUUAUCGAUUCAAAUCAGAUUGGUCUCU
rnacentral:tRNA from 1 species